GGGGGCCGUGAUGGAUCCCUUCUCCAUCCCCUUUGGGGGGCUGUGAUGGAUCCCCUCUGCACCCCCUUUGGGGGGGCUGUGAUGGAUCCCUCUCCACCCCAUUGGGGAGGCCGUGAUGGAUCCCCUCUCCACCCCUUUGGGGGGGGCUGUGAUGGAUCCCCUCUCCACCCCCAUUGUGGGGGCUGUGAUGGAUCCCUUCUCCAUCCCCAUUGGUGAGGCCAUGAUGGAUCCCCUCUCCACCCCAUUGGGGGGGCUGUGAUGGAUCCCUUCUCCAUCCCCAUUGGUGAGGCCGUGAUGGAUCCCCUCUCCACCCCAUUGGUGAGGCCGUGAUGGAUCCCCUCUCCACCCCAUUGGGGGGGCUGUGAUGGAUCCCCUCUCCCACCCCGUUUGGGGGGGCUGUGAUGGACGGCCGUGCCAUGCCGAGCUCCGAGAAGCUUUGCUGCACUUUAUUGCUGAUCUCAUUGGCUGCACUGACCUGCAAACUCCUCGUGGCUCCAGGCUGGGCUGGACUUCCCUCAAGCACUUUUCCUCCAUCCAUCCAUCCAUGCAUCCAUCCAUCCGUCCAUCUGUCCGUCCGUCCAUCCCCAGCAGCAGCAGUGGGGCCGGGGGCUGCCCGACCCCCUCCCCACCCCCACCCCCCCCCAAGAACUCCGUGCUGUGUUCCUUUCCCAAGGAAGAGUCCAUUCGUUUCAAAGAGGUUUGCUUUGCUCUUUACCCUCCCGUCGCCGUUCUCUCCUCCCUUUUGGGUUCAUCUGCUGGUUUUUCAGUCCUCGCCAGGAGGGUUUUGGGGGGCACAGAGUGGGAGCAUCUCUCCCCACAUUCUCCCUCUGCCCCACAGCUCCCGUUCAGGGCAGGGGCUCAGCUGAGCACGCACAACCCCGAGCUGCCCCCAAAGCCGGGAGCCCACCCAGGACCCCGCUCUAUUAUGGGCACAAGCCCCCUCCCCCCCCCCCCGCCCUCCCGUGCUAUGCUGAUACGGGGCCGUCCUGCAGAGGGCUCUCAGCCCCACUGCUGCCCCAUGGGAGGAUUUGCCUUCGUCUUCUGCCCCUCUCACUGCCCGACCUCCCCCCAUCGAUCGGGCUGGGAAAGAAGGACGAGUGGGGAGGGGGGAGCUGAGGGUGGGGGGCACAGUGAUCCCCUCCCCCCCCCCCCCCCCCCGCUGUGGGUUCAGGACCCGAUCCCGUCCCACCGCCGUGGCCGCCUGCCCCGUCUCGCCCGUCAGGGACGUGUGACUUCACAGCAUAGCAAUGUAUCCUUACGCCAAUAAAGGGUUUCUGUGAUUCACUGCUCUGCCCUCGAGGCUCC
rnacentral:lncRNA from 1 species